rnacentral:rRNA from 1 species
AUGGAUCCCCUCGCCGUGCUCCGGGACUACGCCGCCCGCGGCGACCUGGACAAGAUCAUCUUCAACGGCGACGACGUCCUCUUCGGCGACGACUACACCUUCCCGGCCAACGCCCCCACCGCCUUCACCUCCAAGCAGUCCGGCCGCCCCUACCCGCUCUCCGCCGCCGUCUUCCUCGCCCAGCACAACGACCUCAAGCACACUGACUUCCUCCAGGCCGCCCGCCUCCGCCGGAUCCCGCCCGUCUCCCUCCCCGACCGCAAGACCUUCCUCGACUUCCUCCACUUCGGGGACAGCUCCCUCCCUUCCGCCGAGCCCCUCCUCCCCUCCUCCUUCGCGCAGGACGCCCCGCCCCCGCCCCCGCCGCCGGAGGACGAGGAGGGGGAGGGCCCCGACGCCGACGACGCCUCCACCGCCCACGUCCGCGCCGUCGAGCGGCCCCUCAAGGACCGCAACGCCCUCCUCGACGCCCGCGGCCGCGACUUCCUCGCCAUCUACCACGCCGCGCUGCGCCGCGAGGAGGACCGCCUGCGCAACAAGGACGCCGCGCCCUCCGCCGCCGGCCGUGGGCACGAGCCCUCCUCAACCGCCGCGGUGUCCCUCUCCAACCCCAAGCUCGACAAGCACGGGCUCGGCGACGGCUUCGUGCCCAUCAUACUGGUGCCCAGCGCGUCGCAGACGCUCAUCACCAUCUACAACGUCAGGGACUUCCUCGAGGACUUCGUCUUCGUGCCCAGCGACGACAAGAUGCGGGCCAUGAAGGGGAGCCCCAAGCCCGAGUGCGUCACCCUGCACAAGAAGCACGUCCGCGGGGCUGCCGGUCCGGUGGCGUUCGAGGUCAGGGACAAGCCGGCAUCGCUCAAGGCCGACGACUGGGCGCGGGUCGUCGCCGUGUUUGUGCUCGGAAAAGAGUGGCAGUUCAAGGACUGGCCCUUCAAGGGCCAUGUCGACAUCUUCAACAAAGUUAUUGGGUUCUUUGUACGCUUUGAAGAUGAUAGUGUGGAUUCAGCAAAAGUGGUCAAACAGUGGAAUGUCAAAAUCAUAUCUAUAAGCAAGAAUAAAAGGCAUCAAGACAGACCGGCUGCUCUCGAGGUGUGGGAUCGGCUGGACGAAUUUGUGCGGGCACGCUCAUAG